UGCAAGUCGAACGGUAACAGGAAGAAGCUUGCUUCUUUGCUGACGAGUGGCGGACGGGUGAGUAAUGUCUGGGAAACUGCCUGAUGGAGGGGGAUAACUACUGGAAACGGUAGCUAAUACCGCAUAACGUCGCAAGACCAAAGAGGGGGACCUUCGGGCCUCUUGCCAUCGGAUGUGCCCAGAUGGGAUUAGCUAGUAGGUGGGGUAACGGCUCACCUAGGCGACGAUCCCUAGCUGGUCUGAGAGGAUGACCAGCCACACUGGAACUGAGACACGGUCCAGACUCCUACGGGAGGCAGCAGUGGGGAAUAUUGCACAAUGGGCGCAAGCCUGAUGCAGCCAUGCCGCGUGUAUGAAGAAGGCCUUCGGGUUGUAAAGUACUUUCAGCGGGGAGGAAGGGAGUAAAGUUAAUACCUUUGCUCAUUGACGUUACCCGCAGAAGAAGCACCGGCUAACUCCGUGCCAGCAGCCGCGGUAAUACGGAGGGUGCAAGCGUUAAUCGGAAUUACUGGGCGUAAAGCGCACGCAGGCGGUUUGUUAAGUCAGAUGUGAAAUCCCCGGGCUCAACCUGGGAACUGCAUCUGAUACUGGCAAGCUUG
rnacentral:rRNA from 1 species